GUGCAUGUGUCUCCACAUUAGUUCAUGCUAACUAUUGUUUCAUGCUGUCUAUUCACAGAACAUGAAAAAACAAAACAAAACACUGGGGAGAUAAUAUGCCAGAAUAAUAGCAGCUAUGGUAUUUCAGAAUCUCUACAUUUGUUAAAUUGUAAGACAAAACACGAGGGAUCCUAAACUGAAACAAAAGCACAGAAUUUUAAUGCUGCAGUAUGGCUAAGACCAUCUGAAGAGCUUGGAGAAAUAAUGAGGAACACCUCACAUACUUGUGAAGAGGUAAAUUCAUGUAGCUUACUGGAGUCAACAAAGUAAAAGU
rnacentral:lncRNA from 1 species